AGAGUUUGAUCCUGGCUCAGGACGAACGCUGGCGGCGUGCCUAACACAUGCAAGUCGAACGCGCUCCAUUCGGUAGCAAUACCGAUGAAGAGCGAGUGGCGAACGGGUGAGUAGCACGUGAGCAACCUGCCCCGAAGACCGGGACAACACCGGGAAACCGGUGCUAAUACCGGAUAUCCCUAUCGGACCGCAUGAUCUGAUAAGGAAAUGGAUUCCGCUUCGGGAGGGGCUCGCGGCCUAUCAGCUAGUUGGUGAGGUAAUGGCUCACCAAGGCAUCGACGGGUAGCUGGUCUGAGAGGACGAUCAGCCACACUGGGACUGAGACACGGCCCAGACUCCUACGGGAGGCAGCAGUGGGGAAUCUUGCGCAAUGGGCGAAAACCUGACGCAGCAACGCCGCGUGGAGGACGAAGGCUUUCUGAGUUGUAAACUCCUUUCAGCAGGGACGAUAGUGACGGUACCUGCAGAAGAAGCACCGGCCAACUACGUGCCAGCAGCCGCGGUGAUACGUAGGGUGCAAGCGUUGUCCGGAUUUAUUGGGCGUAAAGAGCUCGUAGGCGGUUUGAUAAGUCGGGUGUGAAACCUCCAGGCUCAACCUGGAGCCGCCACUCGAUACUGUCAUGACUAGAAUUCGGUAGGGGACCACGGAAUUCCUGGUGUAGCGGUGAAAUGCGCAGAUAUCAGGAGGAACACCAGCAGCGAAGGCGGUGGUCUGGGCCGACAUUGACGCUGAGGAGCGAAAGCGUGGGGA
rnacentral:rRNA from 1 species